CUUGAUCAUCUUAUUAUUAUUAUUAUUCGUCUUUUUUCUCCUCCUCCUCCUCCUUCUCUUCUUCUUCUUCUUCUUCUUUCUUUUAUCUUUCUCCUCCUCUCCUCUUUCUUCUUCUUCUUCUUCUUCUUCUUCUUCUUCUUCUUCUUCUUCUUAUUCUUCUUCUUCUUCUUUUUUCUUCUAGUUUAUUAUUCUCUUAUUUUCUUCUAUGAUUUUUUCUAUCUAUUUUUUUUCUUUUCUAUC
rnacentral:lncRNA from 1 species